AGGAUUAACGCUGGCGGAGUGCCUAACACAUGCAAGUCGAGCGGCAGCGCGAGUAGUUUACUACUUGGCGGCGAGCGGCGGACGGCUGAGUAACGCGUGGGAACGUGCCCCAAAGUGAGGAAUAACUGCCCGAAAGGGUAGCUAAUGCCGCAUAUGAUCUUCGGAUUAAAGGAUUUAUCCGCUUUGGGAGCGGCCCGCGUCAGAUUAGGUAGUUGGUGAGGUAAAGGCUCACCAAGCCGACGAUCUGUAGCUGGUCUGAGAGGAUGACCAGCCAGACUGGAACUGAGACACGGUCCAGACUCCUACGGGAGGCAGCAGUGAGGAAUCUUCCACAAUGGGGGAAACCCUGAUGGAGCAACUCCGCGUGCAGGAUGAAGGCCUUCGGGUCGUAAACUGCUUUUAUGAGUGAAGAAUAUGACGUAACUCAUGAAUAAGGGUCGCUAACUACGUGCCAGCAGCCG
rnacentral:rRNA from 1 species